UCAACAUUCACGAAAAUCUGAUGGCGGCGGUGUUACGUGUUGUUGUUAUCCGUAAGCACCGUUUCGAGUCAUCCAUGUCGUUGCGAUUUGGUUAUUCUCUAGACCCGCUUUCAAACAAUUUAUUUCUGGAUUGCUCCGACGCUGCUGAAAUUAAUGUCUUAUCGUACGAGAUCGCCAAAUGAGUCAUUUCAGGUUAUUAGUUGGUGAUCCACGCUCUGAUAGGUGAUACUGGGUGGGAGUAAUCUGUCGUAUUCUAUUGAGUUAUGAAUUAAUUUAGAUUUUUUUUAAAUUUGAUCGAUCAAUUAUGUUAUUUUAAUCUUUUAUUCGGAUGUAGAAAUUAAUUGUCUCUAAGUUUAGAACGUGUUUUUAUGUCAGAAAAUUUUAUUUAAUAAACCUCAACUAUAUUUGAUAUUAAA